rnacentral:rRNA from 1 species
UACGGAGGGUGCAAGCGUUAUCCGGAUUCACUGGGUUUAAAGGGUGCGUAGGAGGGCAGGUAAGUCAGUGGUGAAAUCCCCGAGCUUAACUUGGGAACUGCCGUUGAUACUAUCUGUCUUGAAUAUUGUGGAGGUGAGCGGAAUAUGUCAUGUAGCGGUGAAAUGCUUAGAUAUGACAUAGAACACCAAUUGCGAAGGCAGCUCGCUACACAUAUAUUGACUCUGAGGCACGAAAGCGUGGGGAUCGAACAGG